AAAUUGAAGAGUUUAUCAUGGCUCAGAUUGAACGCUGGCGGCAGGCCUAACACAUGCAAGUCGAGCGGAAACGAGUUGUCUGAACCU
rnacentral:rRNA from 1 species